rnacentral:miRNA from 1 species
AGGCAGUGUAGCGUUAGCUGGU